GACGAACGCUGGCGGCGUGCUUAACACAUGCAAGUCGAACGGAAAGGCCUAGCUUGCUAGGUACUCGAGUGGCGAACGGGUGAGUAACACGUGGGUGAUCUGCCUCGUACUUCGGGAUAAGCCUGGGAAACUGGGUCUAAUACUGGAUAGGACCAUGCUUUAGUGUGUGUGGUGGAAAGUUUUUCGGUACGAGAUGAGCCCGCGGCCUAUCAGCUUGUUGGUGGGGUAAUGGCCUACCAAGGCGUCGACGGGUAGCCGGCCUGAGAGGGUGGACGGCCACAUUGGGACUGAGAUACGGCCCAGACUCCUACGGGAGGCAGCAGUGGGGAAUAUUGCACAAUGGGCGCAAGCCUGAUGCAGCGACGCCGCGUGGGGGAUGACGGCCUUCGGGUUGUAAACCUCUUUCGCUAGGGACGAAGCUUUUGUGACGGUACCUAGAUAAGAAGCACCGGCUAACUACGUGCCAGCAGCCGCGGUAAUACGUAGGGUGCGAGCGUUGUCCGGAAUUACUGGGCGUAAAGAGCUCGUAGGUGGUUUGUCGCGUCGUCUGUGAAAUUCCGGGGCUUAACUUCGGGCGUGCAGGCGAUACGGGCAUAACUUGAGUGCUGUAGGGGAGACUGGAAUUCCUGGUGUAGCGGUGGAAUGCGCAGAUAUCAGGAGGAACACCGAUGGCGAAGGCAGGUCUCUGGGCAGUAACUGACGCUGAGGAGCGAAAGCAUGGGGAGCGAACAGGAUUAGAUACCCUGGUAGUCCAUGCCGUAAACGGUGGGCGCUAGGUGUGAGGGUCUUCCACGACUUUCGUGCCGUAGCUAACGCAUUAAGCGCCCCGCCUGGGGAGUACGGCCGCAAGGCUAAAACUCAAAGGAAUUGACGGGGGCCCGCACAAGCGGCGGAGCAUGUGGAUUAAUUCGAUGCAACGCGAAGAACCUUACCUGGGCUUGACAUAUGCAGGAUCGGCGUAGUGAUACGUUUUCCCUUGUGGUCUGUAUACAGGUGGUGCAUGGUUGUCGUCAGCUCGUGUCGUGAGAUGUUGGGUUAAGUCCCGCAACGAGCGCAACCCUUGUCUUAUGUUGCCAGCACGUGAUGGUGGGGACUCAUGAGAGACUGCCGGGGUUAACUCGGAGGAAGGUGGGGAUGACGUCAAAUCAUCAUGCCCCUUAUGUCCAGGGCUUCACACAUGCUACAAUGGUCGGUACAACGCGCUGCGAGCCUGUGAGGGUGAGCGAAUCGCUGAAAGCCGGCCUCAGUUCGGAUUGGGGUCUGCAACUCGACCCCAUGAAGUCGGAGUCGCUAGUAAUCGCAGAUCAGCAACGCUGCGGUGAAUACGUUCCCGGGCCUUGUACACACCGCCCGUCACGUCAUGAAAGUUGGUAACACCCGAAGCCAGUGGCCUAACCCUUGUGGGGGGGAGCUGUCGAAGGUGGGAUCGGCGAUUGGGACG
rnacentral:rRNA from 1 species